UACGUAGGGUGCGAGCGUUAAUCGGAAUUACUGGGCGUAAAGCGUGCGCAGGCGGUUCGUUUAGUCGGUGGUGAAAGCCCCGGGCUUAACCUGGGAACUGCGGUUGAAACUACAGGACUAGAAUCUGGCAGAGGGGGGUGGAAUUCCACGUGUAGCAGUGAAAUGCGUAGAGAUGUGGAGGAACACCGAUGGCGAAGGCAGCCCCCUGGGCUGAGAUUGACGCUCAGGCACGAAAGCGUGGGGAGCAAACAGG
rnacentral:rRNA from 1 species